CAACAAGAAAAAACCACAUGAACAUGCAACUUUCAACUAAACUUUGCAACAUAAACUUUUUUCAACAGAGUAAUGAGCUUUAGUUUCAAACUUUCAUUACACGAAUGUGCACAGAGUUUCUGUUUUGAUCAACUUAAAGUGAAAUUUGUUUCCUUGCCAACAGAAUAAUACGAAAGGGGGCUAAUUCUGUGAGUUAUAGACUUAUUGUCAUGAUGUUGGAUUUUGGCUUACUCCCUCCAUUACAAAUAAAAAUGUUUUCUAAGGUUGUAAAUAUAUAAAAGAUAGGACAAUAAGGUGCCAAAAUCACAAGUUGUGUUACUCGGACUCGAAGUUUUUAACAAGAAACCGCAAUCAAAGUUUUUAACAAGAACCCAUAUAUUAUAGUCAAUUCAAAAUGAAAGCACGACACAUAAAAUUCAGAGUGCAUGACAAAACCAAUAGAUAUGACUCAGUGGCAUCCAUGUUGUAGGCCUUAAGAAAGGACUCAAAGUAGUUCAUUUCUAAUGAUUGUUCCCUAUCCCUUUCUUUUAGUUAAAAAUAUUAAAAGUCUUCUCGCAAUCUUCCACUAUACUAGUUUAUAAGGUCUCUUUAAGUACUAAAUAAGUUAGAAAAGUAAACCACAACAAGAGCUCCCCAUUUACCCGGUUUAAACGCUUAAAAGUAGCUAAGCUCUCAACAAUUAACCCUUGGACCCUUGUUACAAGGCUUUAACUCUGCGAGAGUAUUCAAUGAUCAUUUAAUUAAGAAGAGUAAGCACCUAAAUUAAGGCUCUAAACUCCUUCUCAAACACAAGGUACCAAAAUUUUUAUCACCACAAGCAAUGACUGCAACCCAAAACCAAACUGACAGUCAGCAACCAGGCAAGUGAAACCACAAAUUAUACUUCUCCUUCCUGAAUUAUACCAGCAAACGAAGUUUUUAACAAGAACCCACAAAUUAUGCUCCUUCUCGAAUACCCAAUUCAAGGUGAAACCAAUGACACAUAAAAAUUUAGAUUCAUAACUCACAAAUACAAAAUACCAAAUCAAUAAAUUCAAAGCUAAUAGUAACAACGAACACAAAAUCAACAAACUCGAAAUACUGAAUUUAUAAAGUGAAUUGUUCUUUGACGCUCUAAGAUUAAACAAAAACGCCCUAAUUUACUAUGAAAUUCCCAUUGUACCCUUACUGACUUCUUUCUCAAUUACCCCUUUUACCUCUUUGUACCGACUCUUCCUCCCUUCAUUAGUUCAUUCUCUCUCCUCAACGUUACUAUACUCCGGCGCACCACCGUUGCCGCUGCACUUUGGAGCUCCUUUACUUACUCAAAUUCUCUCCUCCUCGAAGAUCUAGCCAUUUCAAUCGAAGUUGCAGCUAUUAAGUUUAAUUUUGUUUAUUUCGAUGGGAUUUCAUUCUGUCAGUUCCCAACACUGCGGCCACCGCUCCAACCCACAGAUGCUCGUCAAGACGCCGACCUCCCGUCCCCUCAAAGUGGUUUUGUGAAAUGGUUCGGCGAUUACAACCGCGUCUUGCACUUCCACGAGAGGAGAUUCAAGGUGGGGCGGUUCGGGAUGCUAUUGAUGACAUGUCUCCUUUAGUUAAGAAAUGGAACGAUAUGAUAUGACGCGUCUUGCACUUUCCUAAUGCAUAUGUUGGUCGAUCGACUUAGUCCUCAUUUAUUUAUCGGUUGUUGGUUUAUACUAUCAGUAUACAUUGUGCUUUGUAAUACUGAGUACGGAGUACUUUUUACUGGUAGCUAAUGUACUUGAACUUUGGUAUAGAUGACUAUCCAAAGAAAGUUGUAGGUGUAGAAAAUGCAAAAAGAGUUGAUCCUUAACCACCGUUCUCA